GAUGAACGCUAGCGGCAGGCCUAAUACAUGCAAGUCGAACGGUGUCUUCGGACAUAGCGGCGCACGGGUGCGUAACACGUAUGCAACCUACCUUACAUUGGGGGAUAGCCUUUCGAAAGGGAGAUUAAUACCGCAUAAGACAGUAGCUGGGCAUCCAGCAGCUGUUAAAGAUUUAUCGAUGUAAGCUGGGCAUGCGUCCAAUUAGCUAGUUGGUGAGGUAACGGCUCACCAAGGCAAUGAUUGGUAGGGGAACUGAGAGGUCAAUCCCCCACACUGGCACUGGGAUACGGGCCAGACUCCUACGGGAGGCAGCAGUAGGGAAUAUUGGGCAAUGGACGCAAGUCGGACCCAGCCAUGCCGCGUGCAGGAUGAAGGCGUUAUGCGUUGUAAACUGCUUUUAUACAGGAAGAAACGACUCUUGCGAGAGGCAUUGACGGUACUGUAUGAAUAAGCACCGGCUAACUCCGUGCCAGCAGCCGCCGUAACAC
rnacentral:rRNA from 1 species